rnacentral:rRNA from 1 species
AUGGCGUCUGGCUCUGUUCCCCUUGGGAGGACUAGGAGGGGGCUGGUGUCUUGCGCGCACACCCUCAACUGCCGCGCCGACGACGCGCCUCCUCUCCCCCUCGACCUGGAAAACGCCGUCUACGAGCUUAUCGUCGGCUUCUACGACCGGGCAUUCUACCGGCUGCCCUGCGGGAGGAUUCCGGGCCUCCUCGACCUCCUCGCAACCGGCGGGUGCGGCACCAGCCUCGGCCUCCUCGACCCCGUCUCCAACAUCAUCCUCAACACCAUCGCCCUCCUCCCGGAACGCGCCGCCGACGCCGCCUCCACCGCUCCACCCGCCGCAAAGAAGUCCAAAAGACCAGCGCGCAACGCCUGGCAGUGGCACGACAUUGCAAACAGGUCCUACAACAGUCUCCUGGGCUUCCUCAUGGCCUACUUCGGAUGUCUCUGCACCAAGCAACAGGCCACCCACUACCUCUACUGGGCCGACGCCAAUCUCAGCCUGGCCGUCAUGCUCGUCCAACACGAUCUCUACUAUGCGGAGGCGGAGGCACUGGACCCUGAAUCCGACAGGACGCAGGCCGCCCUGGAGUGGGCGGCCACCAUGGCCGGUCACCCUUCCCCCAGCGUUUUGACCAAGCUCAUGUCAUCCCGGCUCAAACAGGACGACUUUCACCUUCUUCUGGAGAAGCAACUCUUUUCAGCAGCAGAUGCCCCUCUUAACGCAGAUAAUGUCGGAGAAAUCGACCGCAUAUUGCGCGUGAUUAUGAGCCCGCCCUGUCUUGCCACCAUAAUCCAUACCAGAAAAGGGCCGAUUCUCCAUGUCCGUAAGAGCGUCGACACCAUGUGAGCAGAUGGCUUGGAACAAUAUUUAAAGAAGACCUCGUGCAGCAUUGACGCCUGCGAUUACCUGCAAACCCUCAAGAUGCGCCUCCAAGGUAUGAUUCACAACUUCUGCAUCAAGGCGCUCAAGCUGCUGCCCACACCAUCCGGCUCGCUCAUGCGUGGCUUCCUCAUGGCCGGCCACUGCUACGGCUCCAUGGACCCUGUCUCCAACAUCAUCGUCAACUCCAUCUGGUACAACAGCCACAGCUGCCCUCUCCCAGAGUCUGAGCACAGCAAGAUUGAGAAAUACAAUGACAUCCUGGAUCCCCAUUCUCUGCUCCGCACACAGGUUCACUCCCUCAAGGGCCUUAUGGAGCUUGCCGCAUUCGCCGGCCCCCAGUUCUCAAUAGAGGCUUGUGCUCUGGAGUUGCUCUGCGGUGCGGGAUGUGACAUCAUUGACAUGUUAUUGCCAUCAUCGCCAGAGAUGCUUGAAAAGAAGAACCCCUUCCAUGAAGCUGCCAAGGCCGCUAGACACCCUCUACCGCUUCAGCUGGGUGAACUGCACCGGCUUCUGCUGCUGAUGCCUGAUGAGCGAAGCCCUCUGCUCUCCUUGAUGACUGAGGCUCGAACUGGCCAUACUGUGUUGCACCUCGAUGACAUGACACUUUAUAUGAGGCGCUUGUGGCUCAAAUGCUCGGCUGCCAAAACUGGUGGCAUUGUGCAAGCUCCUAAACUUUUUCCAAAGUCUCGGAAGUUGGUGUCAAGCAUGAGAUCAAAGUAUGAGAAGCGGAGGAGCUGGUUCCGUUCAAAGAUUGAACAGGUGUUGAAGGAUUACACGACCCAGCAUUUUUGGGAACCAAAAUAUAAACUUGAUAUUAUCUCUGGCGUGGAGGCAAUGAACCAGGGCCGCCCCCCCUUGGGCCGUUGCUACUAUGGCGAGCAAACCGCGAGGAAAAUUGUGUAUCCUGAUGACGCCAAAUACAUCCCGCACGAUAUCACCCAUUACGGAACCCGGCGCGUGGAUGACAUGCUAGAGAUGGAUGUCGUCCACUUCAGUUCCGAGAUGGACGUGGAGCUCACGGAGAAACUCAACAAGAUGCAUGCCCAUUGA